rnacentral:misc_RNA from 1 species
AACUUUUGGCAAUGGAUCUCUUGGUUCUGGCAUCGAUGAAGAACGCAGCGAAAUGCGAUAAGUAAUGUGAAUUGCAGAAUUCAGCGAAUCAUCGAAUCUUUGAACGCACAUUGCACCCUCUGGCAUUCCGGGGGGUAUGCCUGUUCGAGCGUCAUUACAACCCACAAGCCUUGCUUGGUGUUGGGUGCCACCUGUCACAGGGUGCACCUCAAAAUCAGUGGCGGUGCGGCCUGGCUUCAAGCGUAGUAACUCUUCUCGCUCCGGAGCCCAGGCGGCAUACCUACCAACAACCUCAAACACAUCAAAGGUUGACCUCGGAUCAGGUAGGGAUACCCGCUGAAUUUAAGCAUAUCAAUAAGCGGAGGCU